CCGCCCUGAGUUUGGCAGAGGGCUACGGCAGCGGUGGCCGGGCAGGUUGGUGUGAAGUGAGUGCCUCGCAGUCAGCUCCCGGUACCCCGAGCCGGGAGACCGAAAUGACGGCGUACAGGGACGCAUAUCCAUAUUGUGGGGAGCCCGGCCGUGCUACAGCCUGUCACAGCCCUUGGCUACAGGAAGGUCGCUGUCUCCCAGCAGCCAUUCCAGCAGGAUCAGCACACCAGCAUGGAUCUCCCCCCACCACUGGAGCAGCUCACACAGUAUGCCAAAUGCUAAAUCUAAGGCCAUUGGAGCGUUCACUAUCCUAAGUGCAAACUCUGUUGAGAGAAAAUAUGUGUAAGAAUACAGAGCAAGACCACAAACAUUUUCAAAUAAAAUCAGCACAAAAAUGA